rnacentral:rRNA from 1 species
UACGUAGGGUCCAAGCGUUGUCCGGAUUUAUUGGGCGUAAAGAGCUCGUAGGCGGCUUAGUAAGUCGGAUGUGAAAACUCGGGGCUCAACCCCGAGACGCCAUCCGAUACUGCUGUGGCUUGAGUCUGGUAGGGGAACACGGAAUUCCUGGUGUAGCGGUGAAAUGCGCAGAUAUCAGGAGGAACACCGAUGGCGAAGGCAGCUCGCUGGGACGGUACUGACGCUGAGGAGCGAAAGCGUGGGGAGCAAACAGG